AUGUAAGACAACAAAAUCGAGUGGCCCACUUUACACUUAAUGGAAAGCAUCAAUUGCUUUUCAAAUCAGAGAAAUUGGAUAUGAAUACUUCAGAGGGUAUUGUUCCUUCUUUCAAAACAUUGAUACAAAGGAACACUCUGCACUUGGCUGCUAAUGGCAAGGUUACAGAAGCUACAGAAGUUCCAAUAAAUGAUUAAAAGAAGAAGAAGAAGAAGAAGAAGGAGAAAGCAUUAUAGUUUUACAGAUGCUUUGGCUUUCCCAUCCCUUCCUUUUAUCAAUAUUGAAUCACCACAUCAUUUCUAUUUUUAAACUUUCAAGAAAUCAUGAUUGGAAUUCUUUCUCUUUAGGCUAUCCUGUCAUCUCACAUUUUACUCAUGUUUUUCGGAACAACUGAUGCUUCAAGAAGCAGGAAACAAAUUACAAGUUUAGAAAUAGUCACAGGGCAUUGCCCCAUUCUUGGUAUCAUUCUGGUUGACUUUGCAAUGAUACUGUGGCUAUUUAGUGCUAAGAAUAUGAUUUGUGGAUUUUUUUUUUUUUUGCUGGCAGAUGCACAUAAAUCAUUGACUUUCCAUCAAUCAUUUCACACCUGUCUUUAGGUGAAGCUAUGUUUGUGCAUGAAUCACUAUAUGCAUGAAUCAUAUAAUGUGUAUUACGCUGAAAUACAGAGAUGCCUGGAAACUAAUAA